CCUACGGGGGGCAGCAGUAGGGAAUAUUGGGCAAUGGAGGCAACUCUGACCCAGCCAUGCCGCGUGCAGGAAGAAGGCGUUAUGCGUUGUAAACUGCUUUUAUAUAGGAAGAAAUAGACCUUGCGAGGUAAGUUGACGGUACUAUAUGAAUAAGCACCGGCUAACUCCGUGCCAGCAGCCGCGGUAAUACGGAGGGUGCAAGCGUUGUCCGGAUUUAUUGGGUUUAAAGGGUGCGUAGGCGGUUUAUUAAGUCAGUGGUGAAAGACGGUCGCUCAACGAUUGCAGUGCCAUUGAUACUGGUAGACUUGAGUGGGAUUGAGGUAGCUGGAAUGGAUAGUGUAGCGGUGAAAUGCAUAGAUAUUAUCCAGAACACCAAUUGCGUAGGCAAGUUACUAAGUCUCAACUGACGCUGAGGCACGAAAGUGUGGGUAUCAAACAGGAUUAGAUACCCCAGUAGUC
rnacentral:rRNA from 1 species